rnacentral:rRNA from 1 species
UACGUAGGGGGCAAGCGUUGUCCGGAUUUAUUGGGCGUAAAGAGCGUGUAGGCGGCCAGACAGGUCCGUUGUGAAAACUCGAGGCUCAACCUCGAGAUGUCGAUGGAAACCGUCUGGCUAGAGUCCGGAAGAGGAGUGUGGAAUUCCUGGUGUAGCGGUGAAAUGCGCAGAUAUCAGGAAGAACACCUAUGGCGAAGGCAGCACUCUGGGACGGGACUGACGCUGAGACGCGAAAGCGUGGGGAGCGAACAGG